rnacentral:misc_RNA from 1 species
AAGUCGUAACAAGGUUUCCGUAGGUGAACCUGCGGAAGGAUCAUUAACACUUUUUCUUAUCAAUAUACAUCUGUGCAUCUUGUUUUAAACAAACAAAACAAACGUUCAUCAAAUACAUGUCACAGUGUGUUUGUUGAACAAAAAGCAAGGUCAACUGAGGGAGUAAAAUCCCUUUGUUGUAUUUUGCUUUCAUUUUCUUUUUAACACCUUAACUUUAUUUCAUUCUUCUUUCAUGUUAACCUUUUCUCUUCGGAGUAAAAGUGUUGCUUGAAUAACAAUUAAUGAAAACACAAGUCUUACCAGCGGAUAUCUCGGUUCCC